GGGUUGUGAGGUUAAGCGACUAAGCGUACACGGUGGAUGCCCUGGCAGUCAGAGGCGAUGAAGGACGUGCUAAUCUGCGAUAAGCGUCGGUAAGGUGAUAUGAACCGUUAUAACCGGCGAUUUCCGAAUGGGGAAACCCAGUGUGUUUCGACACACUAUCAUUAACUGAAUCCAUAGGUUAAUGAGGCGAACCGGGGGAACUGAAACAUCUAAGUACCCCGAGGAAAAGAAAUCAACCGAGAUUCCCCCAGUAGCGGCGAGCGAACGGGGAGCAGCCCAGAGCCUGAAUCAGUGUGUGUGUUAGUGGAAGCGUCUGGAAAGGCGCGCGAUACAGGGUGACAGCCCCGUACACAAAAAUGCACAUGCUGUGAGCUCGAUGAGUAGGGCGGGACACGUGGUAUCCUGUCUGAAUAUGGGGGGACCAUCCUCCAAGGCUAAAUACUCCUGACUGACCGAUAGUGAACCAGUACCGUGAGGGAAAGGCGAAAAGAACCCCGGCGAGGGGAGUGAAAAAGAACCUGAAACCGUGUACGUACAAGCAGUGGGAGCACGCUUAGGCGUGUGACUGCGUACCUUUUGUAUAAUGGGUCAGCGACUUAUAUUCUGUAGCAAGGUUAACCGAAUAGGGGAGCCGAAGGGAAACCGAGUCUUAACUGGGCGUUAAGUUGCAGGGUAUAGACCCGAAACCCGGUGAUCUAGCCAUGGGCAGGUUGAAGGUUGGGUAACACUAACUGGAGGACCGAACCGACUAAUGUUGAAAAAUUAGCGGAUGACUUGUGGCUGGGGGUGAAAGGCCAAUCAAACCGGGAGAUAGCUGGUUCUCCCCGAAAGCUAUUUAGGUAGCGCCUCGUGAAUUCAUCUCCGGGGGUAGAGCACUGUUUCGGCAAGGGGGUCAUCCCGACUUACCAACCCGAUGCAAACUGCGAAUACCGGAGAAUGUUAUCACGGGAGACACACGGCGGGUGCUAACGUCCGUCGUGAAGAGGGAAACAACCCAGACCGCCAGCUAAGGUCCCAAAGUCAUGGUUAAGUGGGAAACGAUGUGGGAAGGCCCAGACAGCCAGGAUGUUGGCUUAGAAGCAGCCAUCAUUUAAAGAAAGCGUAAUAGCUCACUGGUCGAGUCGGCCUGCGCGGAAGAUGUAACGGGGCUAAACCAUGCACCGAAGCUGCGGCAGCGACGCUGAUGCGUUGUUGGGUAGGGGAGCGUUCUGUAAGCCUGCGAAGGUGUGCUGUGAGGCAUGCUGGAGGUAUCAGAAGUGCGAAUGCUGACAUAAGUAACGAUAAAGCGGGUGAAAAGCCCGCUCGCCGGAAGACCAAGGGUUCCUGUCCAACGUUAAUCGGGGCAGGGUGAGUCGACCCCUAAGGCGAGGCCGAAAGGCGUAGUCGAUGGGAAACAGGUUAAUAUUCCUGUACUUGGUGUUACUGCGAAGGGGGGACGGAGAAGGCUAUGUUGGCCGGGCGACGGUUGUCCCGGUUUAAGCGUGUAGGCUGGUUUUCCAGGCAAAUCCGGAAAAUCAAGGCUGAGGCGUGAUGACGAGGCACUACGGUGCUGAAGCAACAAAUGCCCUGCUUCCAGGAAAAGCCUCUAAGCAUCAGGUAACAUCAAAUCGUACCCCAAACCGACACAGGUGGUCAGGUAGAGAAUACCAAGGCGCUUGAGAGAACUCGGGUGAAGGAACUAGGCAAAAUGGUGCCGUAACUUCGGGAGAAGGCACGCUGAUAUGUAGGUGAGGUCCCUCGCGGAUGGAGCUGAAAUCAGUCGAAGAUACCAGCUGGCUGCAACUGUUUAUUAAAAACACAGCACUGUGCAAACACGAAAGUGGACGUAUACGGUGUGACGCCUGCCCGGUGCCGGAAGGUUAAUUGAUGGGGUUAGCGCAAGCGAAGCUCUUGAUCGAAGCCCCGGUAAACGGCGGCCGUAACUAUAACGGUCCUAAGGUAGCGAAAUUCCUUGUCGGGUAAGUUCCGACCUGCACGAAUGGCGUAAUGAUGGCCAGGCUGUCUCCACCCGAGACUCAGUGAAAUUGAACUCGCUGUGAAGAUGCAGUGUACCCGCGGCAAGACGGAAAGACCCCGUGAACCUUUACUAUAGCUUGACACUGAACAUUGAGCCUUGAUGUGUAGGAUAGGUGGGAGGCUUAGAAGUGUGGACGCCAGUCUGCAUGGAGCCGACCUUGAAAUACCACCCUUUAAUGUUUGAUGUUCUAACGUUGACCCGUAAUCCGGGUUGCGGACAGUGUCUGGUGGGUAGUUUGACUGGGGCGGUCUCCUCCUAAAGAGUAACGGAGGAGCACGAAGGUUGGCUAAUCCUGGUCGGACAUCAGGAGGUUAGUGCAAUGGCAUAAGCCAGCUUGACUGCGAGCGUGACGGCGCGAGCAGGUGCGAAAGCAGGUCAUAGUGAUCCGGUGGUUCUGAAUGGAAGGGCCAUCGCUCAACGGAUAAAAGGUACUCCGGGGAUAACAGGCUGAUACCGCCCAAGAGUUCAUAUCGACGGCGGUGUUUGGCACCUCGAUGUCGGCUCAUCACAUCCUGGGGCUGAAGUAGGUCCCAAGGGUAUGGCUGUUCGCCAUUUAAAGUGGUACGCGAGCUGGGUUUAGAACGUCGUGAGACAGUUCGGUCCCUAUCUGCCGUGGGCGCUGGAGAACUGAGGGGGGCUGCUCCUAGUACGAGAGGACCGGAGUGGACGCAUCACUGGUGUUCGGGUUGUCAUGCCAAUGGCACUGCCCGGUAGCUAAAUGCGGAAGAGAUAAGUGCUGAAAGCAUCUAAGCACGAAACUUGCCCCGAGAUGAGUUCUCCCUGACUCCUUGAGAGUCCUGAAGGAACGUUGAAGACGACGACGUUGAUAGGCCGGGUGUGUAAGCGCAGCGAUGCGUUGAGCUAACCGGUACUAAUGAACCGUGAGGCUUAACCUUACAACGCCGAAGCUGUU
rnacentral:rRNA from 1 species